CCCUUAGAUGUUCUGGGCCGCACGCGUGCUACACUGAGUAAUUCAAUGGGUAAGGGAACGCUAGAGCAUUACCUAAUCUUGAAAUUUGCUCGUGAUGGGGAUCGACGGUUGCAAUUUUCCGUCGUGAACGAGGAAUACCUUGUAGGCGCAUGUCAUCAUCAUGCGCCGAAUACGUCCCUGCCCUUUGUACACACCGCCCGUCGCUCCUACCGAUUGAGUGAUCCGGUGAGGCUCUGGGACCUGGACGGACAGAGCGUUUCGCUUGUUCUGUUUGGGAAACUUGGUCGAACCUUAUCAUUUAGAGGAAGGAGAAGUCGUAACA
rnacentral:rRNA from 1 species